AUUUUAAUGGUACAAGUUUUUUUUGCUGUUCUCGCUGACAAUUUCAUUACUGUGGAUUACUGAAGGAUUGAGACGGAUAAAGGAUAUACUUAUUGAUUCUAAGAAGUCUGGUCGUUGUCACCGUUUCUUCAAUAUAGUUCUGAUAAUUUUUCAAGUUUCUAUCUUUCACGUUACAUUAUACCAGGCUUUUAAAGGUAUCUCCAAAGUUUCC